rnacentral:rRNA from 1 species
GCGAGAGUUCUCUUAGCUUGCUUUGAGAACGGACAGCGGCGAAAGGGAGAGUAACGCGUGGUUACGUGCCCCGGGGUCCAGGAUAGCGUUGGGAAACCGGCGGUAAUACUGGAUGAUAUCUUUGGAUCAAAGGUGUGAUUCCGCCCUGGGAUCGGACCGCGUACUAUUAGCUUGUUGGUGGGGUAAUGGCCUACCAAGGCUGCGAUGGUUACCGGGUGUGAGAGCAUGGCCCGGCUCACUGGGACUGAGACACUGCCCAGACACCUACGGGUGGCUGCAGUCGAGAAUCUUCGGCAAUGGACGAAAGUCUGACCGAGCGACGCCGCGUGCGGGAUGAAGGCCCUCGGGUUGUAAACCGCUGUCAGUUUGGAGGAAAGGUCUGUGAAGAGCAGGCUUUGACCGAUAUUCAGAGGAAGGACGGGCUAAGUUCGUGCCAGCAGCCGCGGUAAGACGAACUGCGCGAACGUUAUUCGGAAUCAUUGGGCUUAAAGAGUUCGUAGGCGGCCUGGCAGGUUGGGUGUGAAAUCCCUCGGCUCAACCGAGGAAUUGCGCUCAAAACCGUCAGGCUUGAGGGAGAUAGAGGUGAGCGGAACUGAUGGUGGAGCGGUGAAAUGCGUUGAUAUCGGAAGGAACACCAAUGGCGAAGGCAGCUUACUGGACAAUUACUGACGCUCAGGCACGAAAGCAUGGGUAGCGAAAGGGAUUAGAUACCCUGGUA